UGCGUCUGUUUUGUUAACAUUUUAGUAAGUAGUUAGGAUACCUCAUUAUGAAAAAAAUCAAAUUCUCAAAACACUUUUUCAGUGAGAAAGGGGACCUAGUCAAAAUUAAAAUAACAGUUACCUUCCCUGCAAUUGAACGUUUCCUGCAGUUAAAGGUUUCUUUUCAUACAGGUUGAGACUCACAAAUUUGAAAAUCUGAAAUCCAAAAGGCUUCAAGAUCCAAAACUUUUUGAACGCUUUCGUGAUGCUCAAAAAAAUGCUUACUGGAGCAUUUUGGAUUUUUCAGUUGUGUGUUUGGGAUGCUCAACCAGUUUUAUACAUGUGUGUAUGUAUAUAAUGCAGAUAUUCCAAAAUCUCCCAAAAUGUGAAAUUCAAAAUACUUUUGGUUCCAAGCAUUUCACAUAAAGGAUACUCAACCGGUAGCUGUGAUUAUAGUUACACAUAAUUUUUUAACUUUAUAUAGUUAAAUCAAGGCAUUGUAAAUCCAAUAUUUGAUUAUAUCUAGUUUUAACUUAUGAUUAAUGAUUUUUAUUUUCCUGUCACAGUAGCGCUGUCAUUAGGACUGUGCUUCCUUACAUAUUCUUUUUGUUUGUUGACAAACAGUACACAUUCACAGGAACUACUGAACCAUGUAACCACUACUCCCUAUCAUGAUGUGUUAUGACGAGAUUACAUGCAAGUCAACAGGGAAAAAUCUUCUAUACUGAUUGGAGGCACAAAAUGACUAGCAAAAGCCACAUCUGAAACUACACGAAAUAACUGUUAAAUUCUUUGUUUCUGUCUCUGUUCCAGACAGUGAAAUAUCCAGGAAAGUUUCCAAUAAACGUUGGGAUUAUGUAACUAAAGUAUUAUUUAAGAGAAAGUUAAAAAAUAUUGUCAAAUACUGUUAGGACAGAUUUUAAGUUUUCUUGUUUGAAGGAUCGUAAAUUCUUAAAAGUUGAAAUUCUAAGAAUAAGUUUUGAUAUUCUAACAAUUUGUUUUUCUUUAGAAGUAGAUCCCAUAAUAGAUCACGUUCAAGACAGAAAGACAGACGAAGAUCUAAGAGCCCACAUAAAAAACGCUCUAAAUCAAGGGAGAGACGGAAGUCAAGGAGUCGUUCGCGUUCACGGGACAAGAGAAAAGACACUCGAGAAAAGAUCAA